rnacentral:rRNA from 1 species
UCCGUUGUAGCAAUACGAUGGAAAGUCUAGUGGCGAACGGGUGCUUAACACGUGGGCAACCUGCCGAGAAGUGGGGGAUAGCUCGCCGAAAGGCGAAUUAAUACCGCAUGUGAUUAGAGUGGACAUCCAUUCGAAAUUAAAGUCGGGGCAACCUGACGCUUCUUGUGGGGCCCGCGGCCUAUCAGCUAGUUGGUGAGGUAACAGCUCACCAAGGCUUUGACGGGUAGCUGGUCUGAGAGGACGACCAGCCACACUGGGACUGAGACACGGCCCAGACACCUACGGGUGGCAGCAGUCGAGAAUUUUUGACAAUGGGGGAAACCCUGAUCGAGCGACGCCGCGUGGAGGAUGAAGGUCUUCGGAUUGUAAACUCCUGUCAUUGGGGAACAAUGCGUGACGCUUAACUGCCGUUGCGUUGAUAGUACCCGAAGAGGAAGAGACGGCUAACCCUGUGCCAGCAGCCGCGGUAAUACAGAGGUCUCAAGCGUUGUUCGGAUUCAUUGGGCGUAAAGGGUGCGUAGGCGGCGCGGUAAGUCGGGUGUGAAAUCU